UACGUAGGGGCCUAGCGUUGUCCGGAUUUAUUGGGCGUAAAGAGCUCGUAGGCGGUUCGGUAAGUCAGGUGUGAAAUCUCCACGCUCAACGUGGAGGCGCCACCUGAAACUGCCGUGACUCGAGUCCGGUAGGGGAGUGUGGAAUUCCCGGUGUAGCGGUGAAAUGCGCAGAUAUCGGGAGGAACACCAGUGGCGAAGGCGACUACCUGGCCUGUUCUUGACGCUGAGGCGCGAAAGCUAGGGGAGCAAACGGGG
rnacentral:rRNA from 1 species